rnacentral:lncRNA from 1 species
AGCAGUGAUGGGUCAAGGAGGUGCAUCUGCAGGUUAUGGAUAUGGUGCAAAUGAUUCCUCUUAUGGAGCUCCAUCUGGUUAUGGUGCAAUCGGUGGGCGGCCUAACAGCCUUGGCGGUGGCUAUGCUGAUGUUUCAGAUGGCUCUGGAGGAUAUGGGAAUCACCAAGGGAACGGGCAAGGUGGUUAUGGUGGAGGUUAUGGGAGUGGUAAUCAAGCUUUACAACAGUGAUUGGAGGAAGAAAGAAAGACUACUACAUUGUGGUCUUUUCCUCAAACUCCUCUUUCCUCUUUAAGGAUGCCGCCCUUGACCUGGAUUAUCUAUUUUGUUAGUUUCUUAAUAAGUUGUUCAGGCACUCUUGAUGCUGAGUCGUACUUAGUAUUUCAUAUGAAGUUGUAGUGUGCUUAUUUAUAUUUGUUGCUUUGGAACGUUUUUCUUUUCUCUAUGCUAGUGUUUGUGUUUAACAAUAACUUAUCCACUAUUCAUCUUUCUUUGUUUCAUUUAUUCUUUUGAAUAUUCCUUCAAGAUUCUUGCUUCAUCAUCUC